rnacentral:tRNA from 1 species
UCCCUGGUAGCUCAGUGGUAAAGAAUCCAUCUGCAAAUGCAGGAGACACAGGUUCAAUUCCUGAUCAGGGAA